rnacentral:misc_RNA from 1 species
UUUCCGUAGGUGAACCUGCGGAAGGAUCAUUAUUGAAUAAACCUGAUGUGGCUGUUAGCUGGCUUUUCGAAGCAUGUGCUCGUCCGUCAUCUUUAUCUCUCCACCUGUGCACAUUUUGUAGUCUUGGAUACCUCUCGAGGCAACUCGGAUUUUAGGGUCCCUGUGCUGUACAAGUCGGCUUUCCUUUCAUUUCCAAGACUAUGUUUUUAUAUACACCAAAGUAUGUUUAAAGAAUGUCAUCAAUAGGAACUUGUUUCCUAUAUAAUUAUACAACUUUCAGCAACGGAUCUCUUGGCUCUC